rnacentral:tRNA from 1 species
GCCUGAGUGGCUCAGUCAGUUAAGCGUCUGACUUGGGCUCAGGUCAUGAUCUCGCGGUCUGUGGGUUCGAACUCCACAUCAGGCU